CAGUAGCCGCGGUAAUACGUAGGGUGCAAGCGUUAAUCGGAAUUACUGGGCGUAAAGCGUGCGCAGGCGGUUCGCUAAGACAGAUGUGAAAUCCCCGGGCUUAACCUGGGAACUGCAUUUGUGACUGGUGGGCUAGAGUAUGGCAGAGGGGGGUAGAAUUCCACGUGUAGCAGUGAAAUGCGUAGAUAUGCGGAGGAACACCGAUGGCGAAGGCAGCCCCCUGGGCCAACACUGACGCUCAUGCACGAAAGCGUGGGGAGCAAACAGGAUUAGAUACCCCGGUAGUCCCUGUCUCUUAUAU
rnacentral:rRNA from 1 species